rnacentral:piRNA from 1 species
UAAGGGACCAUCUUGGUUGAGGGCGGA